AAUCCCCUUCAUCUAUUUCACCCGUCGCCCCCACCCACCUCCCCUUUAUGGUAACCAUCAGUUUGUUCUUUAGAUUUCAGAGUCUGGUUUUUCUUUGUUUCCGGAGAGUCCAUUCCAGCAUCUGGAACAAGAAUAAGAAGGAAAGAUUCGAAGCAAUAUCCCAAUACUCUUUAGAUUCUAUCAACUGUGAGACACUAUGGAUUUUCAAAGACGGCUGACUGCCUUUCAUGCCUCUGAACUCCGCCCUUCCUUGGCAUGAUGGAGAAGGAAAAUGAACUCAAGACCCACCUAGUACAGCAUCUUAAAUCUAAUUAGGUACCCAAACAAGCGAAUUAUUUGAACUCAACGCAUCCCAAGUUGCAAAAGUGGGCCAAGUCUCUUGGCUCCUAGGACUACAGCUUUGCCUCCUUCAGGAGCUAGAGAGCUGAUGCUCAGGAGAACUGCAGGUAUGCGCCAGGCCCCGGGAAGAAGCACACCCUCCUGUGUAAUGCGAAGGCCACGGCCCAGACUUCAUUCUCCCCGGGUCUCAGGGUAAGUGCAACAGCGGAGGAAAAUCUAACCACAGAAGCGCGAGCCCUCUUUCCGAGUGAUAAUGCUGCCUAGCAGGGUGCCUUGGGAGAGCUCGAUUGUACGUGCCGGCCCAUUUGCAGAAGACCAGGGAGCAGGGAGCAGCGCUGUAUUUGAGAUCUUGAAGGACCUCGUGGUGCCACUGGAGUCGGAGACGCAAAAGGAAAAGAUGAGGGUAAGUCGGACUCUGUCAGUUUCCUGGCAGUCCAGCCAUCUCCAGGCUCAAAGGUCUCCCGCGUACACAGGUGCAAAUGAAAUGAUAUUCGAGAGUAAGAAUGGGGACAAGCAAGCUUCCAGGCUUGGAGAGGGAACAUGAACCCACUGACCAGUGAAAUGAUCCCCAGAUCAUUCCAGAAUCCCAGUUUGCCUGCACACGGGGACAGCAUGCCCUCCAAGAGACUAACAGAUAAAUGUAGCUCCAGUGCCUAUGAACUUCUCUCAGUCAUGGCAAAACACGGAUCUGCUAAAAGAGUCUGGGAAAGAAGAAUCUGAAGAUGCGUGAAUGAGUAAACGAAAUAAGGGGCAAGGCAGUUUCCCUCCUGUGACCAUCUUGAGCAGUCAGACAGCUCUCCGAGAUGGCGUAGAUGAAUCUCCCCGUCACUACUCCAUGCUGAAUUGGCCAUGGCUUGAACAUGGGUAGGUUAUGGGAAAACUUGGAGUCUGGCUCUCUGCUGAAAUCAAACUUUUCCUCCUCCCUGAUUUUCACCAUAGUCACUCUUCUGGAAAUUACUUGCACGUGGUUGAUAGAGUAUCAGUCUGGGGCUAAGAAAAUGGCAGCCAGGACCCAUUUGGUCAUAUGAUGAGCAGUAACAGGAAAAAACAGGGAAGAGAUAAAACCUAAAACUGGGUGGGCCUCUGCCAAGGGGAGGAUGUCUAGAGCUCUUCUGCUUUCUCAACAAAAUUACAAAAUUAUGCGCUUUGACUCGCGUGGCUAAGCAGAUGUUCUCUUUGCUGCAAAUCUAUUAGCUCCUUGCUUACUCUGCCGAGUGGGUGGCGCAAGAAAAGAUGAGCUGCAGAGAAGGAGCCGGCAGUGGCAGGAAAGGACACGGGGCGUGAGAGAUUAGGAGCUGAGGGACAGCGACCCUGAAUUGAGACGAAAGGGGCUUCUGAAGGAGCAAGGCUGCAGCAUGUUUAGUUAACGUCUUUCCAACAAAGGAGAAAUUUUGUGCAGCCACAGAUCAUUUGCAAUUCAAAGAGCGAGAGGCAAACCGAGUUGAGAACAUACUUUGUGUGGAAAGGCAUUCAUAGUAUCCAUGCCCCAAAUACCUCCCACCCAAGGGAAGUCGUCCGGUACAUUUGAGAGCUUUUCGCUGACUUGGGGCCCUCAGUGCCACCAUUUUCCCUCUUUCUCCCUCUCUCCCUUUCCUCUUCCCCCUUCCAUACUGGUUGCCUGUCUGUCACUUCAAUUCAGUCCAGCCAUCUGGAACUUUCCCUACUAGAUAAUAUCUCCACCUCAAAUUAAAAAAUGGCCCUUUCCUACUUGAUCAGAGCCCUGGUAUCUGGAUGGUUGAGGAAGAUUGCCGAAUGGCAGUGUGAGGUGGAGAUUUCCUGGGGAUUUCAAUCACCUUGCUCCCCCUCUACCCUUCAUGAUAAAGGCUAAUCAGGAGGGGAAUGAAAACAACACGCAAUCUUAGGAGAAAUGAGGAAUGGGCCAGAUGCAACCCACAGAGGCUGGCUGAGAUUUCAAUUUUCUUACUGUAAUGAAAACUGCAUUUCCAUGAACCGUUGCGGUAGAAAUUACUUACCGGCGGUCACCUGUGAUAGCAUCACCCCGCGGCUCACGUGGUGGGCACGGAUGCCGCCAGGGACGGUUGCUGAAGCGCCUUCUCGUGAUCACCUUCCGCUCGGUCCUCAGGGUGCCGCAGAUGGGCGGAGGCGGCGCUUCCGUGUGGGAAACGAGGCCCGAUCCAGAAUAUGAUGGAUGGUCAUCGCUGUGCUCUUCACAUGUUGUGAGAAUUCUGGGUCAUUUUCUCAAGUUUGGAAUUGUGGAUGUGGCCGUGGCUGUUUCCAGACAGAAAACAGUGGAAUCCUGGAAAGAGUCAAACAAUCAACUGUGAUUUUGUACUUCAAUCCAGAUGAAUUAAGCAAGCAGAUCCUUUGGGUUUUACACAUCUAUGAAAUAUCAGGCCCUCGUGUUCUCCUUUUGGGGUGUUCUUCCUUGAAAAGAAUGCACUUUCACUAUUUAAAUCAUAUCAGUAAAUAGUCAUAUUGUGUCUUAUGGUUUUUUGGUCCUUCUGUCUUAAAAAGAAUGAUUUCAAGAAUGAAGUUUCACAUGCCAAUUUGAAUAGUUUAAUUUUUGUUGGAAUAAUUAGUUCCCUUCCUUCUCAUCUUUUUCUGAACCCACUGGAAAAAAAAAAAGACAAAGGAGAGAGGCAGAGAGACACCAAAAUAACAUCUUUCCUAUUGAUAAAGCUGACAUUGGAGAAAGUGGAAUAUAUCUGUGGCCAAAUGGACUUCCUAAUCCUGAGUCCACGUGCUGGCUGCACCAGCCGAUCUGGUCAGAGGCAGAAGCAGACCACUGCUGGCCUCCACACACGGUAAGCAUGGAGAGAUUUACUGCUGUGCUUGCCAUGGGUUUGACAGCCAUCUAGAGCAUGUUUUCUCUGCUAUUUCCUAAAAGGAAGAAGAGACAGGAAGGGGCUGGGCUGUGCAUGCUUGGUUUCUUCUCACAGAUUCCUCAAUUAGGUAAGUCCCUCUGCUGUCCAGGGGAGGGGUGAAGAAGGGCUCCAGGGAGAUACUCUGCUAAUGGGGUUCAUGCUGCUGGGGAAAGAGCUCCUGAGUGGGAAGAAGCACCCUCCCUAAGAAAGUCUUCAAUGACAAAAUCUAUUGUAGUAGGCAUUUUUUAUUUACCAGUUUUGAUUUCUAACCCCCUCUCCUCCUCACGUCUCGUUGAACAUUCUAAUUUGAGCAAGAGAAAAAACUGCAUAGUAAAAAGAACACUGGAGACCUGGGUCCUGGUUGGGCUGGUGGGUAAGUCAAAGGGGCUCUCCGGGUCUUGCCUUCCUGCAGUCUGAGAGUGUAGGAGAGGUUGGUCCUUGCUAAAGCCAGUCCUAUGGUCUGCCUCCCAUACCUUUCCUUCCGGGAACCUUGCCUUCUCUUGUAUUUUCAACUUCUUUUCUCCUCACCUGGGUUCCUUCCAUGUGCUUUUAGACAUUUACAGAUCUUUCCCACUUAAAGACAAUAUCCUCACUUGACACCUGCCCUUUCUAGAAGCUUCCUUAUCUCUGUGUCUUCUUU